rnacentral:rRNA from 1 species
GACGUAGGGUGCAAGCGUUGUCCGGAUUUAUUGGGCGUAAAGAGCUCGUAGGCGGUCUGUCGCGUCGGCUGUGAAAACCCGGAGCUCAACUCCGGGCCUGCAGUCGAUACGGGCAGACUGGAGUUCGGCAGGGGAGACUGGAAUUCCUGGUGUAGCGGUGAAAUGCGCAGAUAUCAGGAGGAACACCGGUGGCGAAGGCGGGUCUCUGGGCCGAUACUGACGCUGAGGAGCGAAAGCGUGGGGAGCGAACAGG